CGCCAGCCCGCUCAGAAACUCAAAGGAAUUGACGGGGCCCGCACAAGCGGUGGAGCAUGUGGUUUAAUUCGACGCAACGCGAAGAACCUUACCUGGUCUUGACAUCCCGGAGACCCUUAGGAAACUAGGGGGUGCUUCCAUCUGGAAGAAUCUGGAGACAGGUGCUGCAUGGCUGUCGUCAGCUCGUGUCGUGAGAUGUUGGGUUAAGUCCCGCAACGAGCGCAACCCUUGCCUUUAGUUGCCAGCAGUUCGGCUGGGCACUCUAAAGGGACUGCCGGUGACAAACCGGAGGAAGGUGGGGAUGACGUCAAGUCCUCAUGGCCUUUAUGACCAGGGCUACACACGUACUACAAUGGCCGAUACAAAGGGCAGCGACACUGCGAGGUGAAGCCAAUCCCGUAAAAUCGGUCUCAGUCCGGAUUGGAGUCUGCAACUCGACUCCAUGAAGUUGGAAUCGCUAGUAAUCGUGGAUCAGCAUGCCACGGUGAAUACGUUCCCGGGCCUU
rnacentral:rRNA from 1 species